rnacentral:rRNA from 1 species
ACGCACGCUGGCGGCGUGCUUCACACAUGCAAGUCGCACGGAAAGGCCCUGCUUUUGUGGGGUGCUCGAGUGGCGAACGGGUGAGUAACACGUGAGUAACCUGCCCUUGACUUUGGGAUAACUUCAGGAAACUGGGGCUAAUACCGGAUAGGAGCUCCUGCUACAUGGUGGGGGUUGGAAAGUUUCGGCGGUUGGGGAUGGACUCGCGGCUUAUCAGCUUGUUGGUGGGGUAGUGGCUUACCAAGGCUUUGACGGGUAGCCGGCCUGAGAGGGUGACCGGCCACAUUGGGACUGAGAUACGGCCCAGACUCCUACGGGAGGCAGCAGUGGGGAAUAUUGCACAAUGGGCGGAAGCCUGAUGCAGCAACGCCGCGUGCGGGAUGACGGCCUUCGGGUUGUAAACCGCUUUCGCCUGUGACGAAGCGUGAGUGACGGUAAUGGGUAAAGAAGCACCGGCUAACUACGUG